UGUUUCAAACGAUCAGUUUGAAAUUUUUUGGAUAAAUUACUCCACGCAUAAUCUCUCUGCCUCCUUAAUCCCUAAAAUCCAGUUGAGAUAUAUAUGAUGGCACCGCUGUGUGUGCGGCCAGCAGCGGCAGCGCGCGUUGCAGCCUUGCAGGUGCCUAGCCAAGCCACUAAGCCAGCAACAGUGCAUGCCAGGCGCGUAGGCCACAAGCGCGCUGAUGAGCCGGUCUGUGAGAAAACGCGUCAGAAGCGGAAGAACCAGCACAGAUAUUGUGGUGUAAAAAAUCGACUGACAAAGCGAAAUGAUGAUCACUCGAGUGAUGGUUAGGAAUUACCAAAGUCCGUGCACAUGCAGGCUGGACAGCAGCGCAAUGCGCAAAUAACAGGUCUUUCAAGAACGAUUGAAACAAGUAGAGGCCUCAUGGCUCCUUCAGGCUACUCACAAAGGGUGAACGCCAGCAUUGGUGCAUGAACAUAGAAUGGGGAGACAGUAAACGCAAAUCGUUGAAGGGUCAUUGCAAGUGCGACCUUGGCCUCAACCAACGCAAGAUUCUGGCCAACGCAGAUUGUAGGACCGAUCCCAAAGGGC